AUUGAACGCUGGCGGCAUGCCUUACACAUGCAAGUCGAACGGUAACGGGCCUUCGGGUGCCGACGAGUGGCGAACGGGUGAGUAAUGCAUCGGAACGUACCUUUCAGUGGGGGAUAACGUAGCGAAAGUUACGCUAAUACCGCAUAUUCUGUGAGCAGGAAAGCAGGGGAUCGCAAGACCUUGCGCUGAUUGAGCGGCCGAUGUCAGAUUAGCUAGUUGGUGAGGUAAAGGCUCACCAAGGCGACGAUCUGUAGCGGGUCUGAGAGGACGAUCAGCCACACGGGAACUGAGACACGGUCCCGACUCCUACGGGGGGCGAGCAGUGAGGAAUAUUCGGCAAUGGGGGCGAACCCUGACCGAGCAACGCCGCGUGGAGGAUGACGGU
rnacentral:rRNA from 1 species